CCACCUCCCACCCGUGUUUAUUGUACCUUGUUGCUUCGGCGGGCCCGCCUUUACGGCCGCCGGGGGGCUCACGCCCCCGGGCCCGCGCCCGCCGAAGACACCCUCGAACUCUGUCUGAAGAUUGUAGUCUGAGUGGAAUUAUGAAUUAUUUAAAACUUUCAACAACGGAUCUCUUGGUUCCGGCAUCGAUGAAGAACGCAGCGAAAUGCGAUACGUAAUGUGAAUUGCAGAAUUCAGUGAAUCAUCGAGUCUUUGAACGCACAUUGCGCCCCCUGGUAUUCCGGGGGGCAUGCCUGUCCGAGCGUCAUUGCUGCCCUCAAGCACGGCUUGUGUGUUGGGCCCCGUCCCCCGGUCCCGGGGGACGGGCCCGAAAGGCAGCGGCGGCACCGCGUCCGGUCCUCGAGCGUAUGGGGCUUUGUCACCCGCUCUGUAGGCCCGGCCGGCGCCUGCCGAUCAACCCAUUUUUAUCCAGGUUGACCUCGGAUCAGGUAGGGAUACCCGCUGAACUUAAGCAUAUCAAUAAGCGGAGGAA
rnacentral:rRNA from 1 species